GAUGAACGCUAGCGGCAGGCUUUACACAUGCAAGUCGAGGGGUAUAGUAGCAAUACUAGAGACCGGCGCACGGGUGCGUAACGCGUAUGCAACCUACCUUUUACAGAGGGAUAGCCCAGAGAAAUUUGGAUUAAUACCUCAUAGUAUAUGUUUUUCGCAUGUUAGACAUAUUAAAGUUCCAACGGUAAAAGAUGGGCAUGCGUCCUAUUAGCUAGAUGGUAAGGUAACGGCUUACCAUGGCUACGAUAGGUAGGGGUCUUGAGAGGGAGAUCCCCCACACUGGUACUGAGACACGGACCAGACUCCUACGGGAGGCAGCAGUGAGGAAUAUUGGACAAUGGGCGCAAGCCUGAUCCAGCCAUGCCGCGUGCAGGAAGGCGGUCCUAUGGAUUGUAAACUGCUUUUGUACGGGAAGAAACACUCCCUCGUGAGGGAGCUUGACGGUACCGUAAGAAUAAGGAUCGGCUAACUCCGUGCCAGCCGCCGCAGUAAGAC
rnacentral:rRNA from 1 species